rnacentral:rRNA from 1 species
UACAGAGGGUGCAAGCGUUGUUCGGAAUUACUGGGCGUAAAGCGCACGUAGGCGGGCGAUUAAGUCAGGGGUGAAAUCCCGGAGCUCAACUCCGGAACUGCCUUUGAUACUGGUCGUCUAGAGAUCGGAAGAGGUGAGUGGAAUUCCCAGUGUAGCGGUGAAAUGCGCAGAUAUCAGGAGGAACACCGGUGGCGAAGGCGGUUCUCUGGGCAUUCCCUGACGCUGAGGAGCGAAAGUGUGGGGAGCGAACAGG